ensembl:lncRNA
GACCUUCAUCCCUCCCCUCACAGAUGAGAUCCCCAUAAAGCGGCCCCAUGGACAUCCAUGGCCUGUCCGGAGAGUGUGUGCCCUGGGACUAUGGCUGGCACCUCUCCGUUUUGUUUUGUUUUGUUAAAAAGACUAAAGCUUUUCUUUGCUCCUGAACACUAUUCGAUAUUUUUCUGCUGAACUGAACGACAGCGGGGAGCAGGACCGCAGCUUGGGGCUGACUCUGGAGGGAAUGACAUCUGGAAAUCCGACAAGCAUCUUUUAACCCAGAAGGUUACUAAAGAUUGCUGUGCAGAAAUACAGGAAGUUGGGCUUUUCUGGUGGCACAACGGAUGGAAGUCUGCCUGCUGAUGCAGGGGACAUGGGUUCGAUCCUUGGUCCAGGAGGAUUCCACAAGCCAAGGAGCAACUAUGCCCAUGAGCCUUUGCUCUAGAGCCCUCGAGCCACAACUACAGGACCCAUGUGCUGGAACAUGAAGCUUAUGUGUUGCAGCUACUGAAGCCUGCAUGGCUAGAGCCUGUGCUCCACAGCAAGGGAAACCAUCACGAUGAGAAGCCCAUGCACAGCCACAAAGAGUAGCCCCCACUCACCACAGCUAGAGAAAGCCUGCACCCAGCAAUGAAGACCCAGUGCAACCAAAAAUAAAUAAACAAAUAA